UGGGCAACCCACAAAUGACGCAAUAUAAAAAGCUAUGUGUGAGUUGAAAGAUGAGGUCUUCCGGCUUGAUUUGAAGGUGAACAGCGCAAAAGAGCUGUUACUGAAGGUACUCUCCACUUACCUUGGGAAGGGGACUAUGAAUGAAGUGUUGGAGAUACCUGAGACGAGCAAAGUUCAGCGCUCGCUUUCGUUCAACGGGGAGACCGAGAAGAAGGAUGACGUGGGUGUCGAGGAAAAGGAUGGUGAGGGGACGAAGGAUAAAUUGGAAGAGGAUGUUGAUGAUGUAGAGAGUCUCCCUUCACUUAAUCUAUCUGAAGACAAGGUCGUUGUUCCAACUGAGGUGGUUGUUUCUGAUGAGUCGUUUGAGGUUAUGAAAUUUUGGGGAGAAGAUCUCCCCGCUAUUGUAAAAGAGGAAGUUGAGCAGACCGUGAAGGAUGAUUUUGAUGAUGCUGCGUUCGAAAGAUUCAAAGAAUCUGGAGGGAAGGUGAUUGGUCUGUUCACUGUGAAGAAGGGUUACUCAAAUCAACAGUACGAGUUCUUCCGUUACAUUUUCUCUAGCGCCAAUGAUCCGAGUGAAGUGUUAGCCCAUUUUGGGAAGGUUGAGGUCGAGCGGAGGUUUUUCAAAUGCAUGAAACCGGAGACCGAUAUAUCAAACAGUGUCAUUGAUUGCUUUGCUCAAAUCAUGAAUUUUCGAGAGAAGAAGCGCAACGACAUUGGAACAAAGAGAACUUGGUUUAUGCCCACCAGAAUUUCGGUAUGAAAUUUGAUAUUUAAAAGUGGACAUGAAUCUUUUGUAUUUGUGCUGUAAACUUUGUUAAAUCUAUGUUUUUAUUUAAAAUGUAAUCUAUUAUGUGUGCUUAUUGUGCAGAGCAAGUUACUUGGAAGAACGAUGACUGUGGAGAGGAUGGCGAAGCAGCAAGAGUGGUCCACUCUUUAUUACGAUGCAGAUUUGAGUUUAUGUCACACUAUGGUGGUACCCCUACUAGAUACCGAGAGUGCUCCGCACUGGUUUGCGGCGAAUGUGAGGAUGCAUAAUACAACAGUGGAAAUUAGGGACUCGUUGUCUUCUGCAAUGCAUAAGAGGUCACGUCGGAGCACCAGCGUAGAGAUGGUAUGCACGUGUGUACAUGGUUUGCUGUUUUAUUAGUGUAAUUGCAAUAAUCUCAACUGUGAUUGUUUUAAUUUUUUUGCAGCUCCAGACUUUGGACCAAUUGUUUGCCCCUGUCAAGCCAGGAGAUCUGAAUUUCAUCGAAUUUGUAAUUCUUUCUUCAAGCAAGGACUA